UACGUAGGCAGCGAGCGUUGUUCGGAAUUACUGGGCGUAAAGAGUGUGUAGGCGGUGGCCUAAGUUCGGUGUGAAAUCUCCUGGCUUAACUGGGAGGGUGCGCCGGAAACUGGGUUGCUCGAGCGUGGGAGAGGAAAGCGGAAUUCCUGGUGUAGCGGUGAAAUGCGUAGAUAUCAGGAGGAACACCUGCGGUGUAGACGGCUUUCUGGACCAUAGCUGACGCUGAGACACGAAAGCGUGGGGAGCAAACAGG
rnacentral:rRNA from 1 species